GACGAACGCUGGCGGCGUGCCUAAUACAUGCAAGUAGAACGCACAGUUUAUACCGUAGCUUGCUACACCAUAGACUGUGAGUUGCGAACGGGUGAGUAACGCGUAGGUAACCUGCCUGGUAGCGGGGGAUAACUAUUGGAAACGAUAGCUAAUACCGCAUAAUAUUAAUUAUUGCAUGAUAAUUAAUUGAAAGGUGCAAUUGCACCACUACCAGAUGGACCUGCGUUGUAUUAGCUAGUAGGUGAGGUAACGGCUCACCUAGGCGACGAUACAUAGCCGACCUGAGAGGGUGAUCGGCCACACUGGGACUGAGACACGGCCCAGACUCCUACGGGAGGCAGCAGUAGGGAAUCUUCGGCAAUGGACGAAAGUCUGACCGAGCAACGCCGCGUGAGUGAAGAAGGGUUUCGGAUCGUAAAGCUCUGUUGUAAGAGAAGAACGGGUGUGAGAGUGGAAAGUUCACACUGUGACGGCAUCUUACCAGAAAGGGACGGCUAACUACGUG
rnacentral:rRNA from 1 species